rnacentral:rRNA from 1 species
GUGGGGAAUAUUGCACAAUGGGGGAAACCCUGAUGCAGCGACGCCGCGUGAGUGAAGAAGUAAUUCGUUAUGUAAAGCUCUAUCAGCAGGGAAGAAGAAGACGGUACCUGACUAAGAAGCCCCGGCUAACUACGUGCCAGCAGCCGCGGUAAUACGUAGGGGGCAAGCGUUAUCCGGAUUUACUGGGUGUAAAGGGAGCGUAGACGGUACAGCAAGUCUGAUGUGAAAGGUCGGGGCCCAACCCCGGGACUGCAUUGGAAACUGUUGGACUGGAGUACAGGAGAGGUAAGCGGAAUUCCUAGUGUAGCGGUGAAAUGCGUAGAUAUUAGGAGGAACACCAGUGGCGAAGGCGGCUUACUGGACUGUAACUGACGUUGAGGCUCGAAAGCGUGGGGAGCAAACAGGA